rnacentral:rRNA from 1 species
UACGUAGGGUGCGAGCGUUAAUCGGAAUUACUGGGCGUAAAGCGUGCGCAGGCGGUUUUGUAAGCCAGAUGUGAAAUCCCCGGGCUUAACCUGGGAAUGGCAUUUGGGACUGCAAGGCUUGAGUGCGGCAGAGGAGACUGGAAUUCCUGGUGUAGCAGUGAAAUGCGUAGAUAUCAGGAGGAAUACCGAUGGCGAAGGCAGGUCUCUGGGCUGACACUGACGCUGAGGCGCGAAAGCUAGGGGAGCGAACGGG